CUACGGGUGGCAGCAGUGGGGAAUAUUGGACAAUGGGGGAAACCCUGAUCCAGCAAUGCCGCGUGUGUGAAGAAGGCCUGCGGGUUGUAAAGCACUUUCGGUUGGGAGGACUGCUUCUAGCACUAAUAUUGUUGGAAGUUGACGUUACCUUCAGAAGAAGCACCGGCUAACUCCGUGCCAGCAGCCGCGGCAAUACGGAGGGUGCAAGCGUUAAUCGGAAUUACUGGGCGUAAAGCGCGCGUAGGCGGCUAGAUCAGUCGGGUGUGAAAGCCCCGGGCUUAACCUGGGAACUGCAUCCGAUACUGUCUAGCUUGAGUACAGGAGAGGAGAGUGGAAUUCCACAUGUAGCGGUGAAAUGCGUAGAUAUGUGGAGGAACACCAAUGGCGAAGGCAGCUCUCUGGCCUGAUACUGACGCUGAGGUGCGAAAGCGUGGGGAGCAAACAGGAUUAGAUCCCCCUGUAGUC
rnacentral:rRNA from 1 species